AUUUUCCAGUGGUGAUGGAUUUGCAGUGGAUUCUCAGCACUCAUGUAGCUGCUGAGUUCCCUAGAAGCAAUGGAGCCAGCAAAAACCUUUGCAGAAAGAAUUCACUACCUGAAUCCUGGAGAUCAUCCUUGAAUAGCAAUGGUAAUGAUUUGUGUUCAUCAGAGGGCAGAACACAUCUAUCGUACAGACAUCUGAAGGAAUUUAGGUAAUUUAUAUUUGAGCUUGAGCAGUAUACCAUUAACAACUGAUGAAAGACAGUAGAUGACAGCUCUGCAAGAAUAGGAAAUGCAUCGAUAUUUAUGAUUCCAGAUGUUUCCUGAAGAAUGAGACUGUGGUUCCGUGAUAAUUUAAGCCUACUUAGACUGAGAUGACUGCAGAAACAAAUCUCACCAAAAAAUAUGUGUGUGUAUAUAUUUCAGCCAAAUUGGUUCUGAGUGGACUCAUUACCUACAUACUGGUGCCUGGAAUAAAAUAGAAGCUGGAGAAGCCUGGCUGAAGGCAGGGGCACAGGUCACCCUCACACAGGUCUACCACUUGGCUUGAACUACAGGUUUGAGGAAAACAACCACCAGAUUCUGGUAAUAGGAAUGCAGGGAGAUUUCUUUUUUCUUUCCACUUUGUUUCCUCUUUAAUAACAGCCUUACACAUGGCACUGCACAGGCUACUCCAUGACAUUCUUCCACAGUCUCCUAAUAUGAAUUUACAAACAGGGAGCUACGAGAGUUAGAGGUGCAUACUUUGGCCUCUGCCUUCCACUCCUCCCACCACAAAUGCUGCUGCAGCAUGGCGCUGGGAAUGCAAACAUACCAGCACUGUGGAUGGUGAUGACAACUGUCAGACUGAAAGUCCCAGUCACUUACAGGGAGAGCAUCUGGGGCUACAGCAGCAUCACUGUUGUUUAUAGCUCCCAUUUCCAUCCCUCCAGCUGGACCCACAGUCUUUUGGGUACCUGUGACACCUACACACCCAGCUGAUAUCAUUGCACCCACGUAACUGUCUUGAAUUGUGUGCUUUUUGUUCAUGUUUGAAGCACAGGCUUAUGUCUCAAGAGACUUCAUUGUCACCUGCUGAAUAUUGGUGGUGUUGUGUUCCAGCUGGAUUUAUCAUUUCAUAACAUAAAGGCCUCAGACUUUACUUCCUCUUAACUUCCUCUUAGUCUUUGUCUGCUUCAGAUUUUCACAGCCUUCAGAAAAGCUACUAUAUUUUUUCUUCAGGGACAGUUGAGGGAAGGCUAAAUUAUCUGGUGAGUUAAGCCUCCUGUAUGCAAGUUGAGGAAUUGGGUAUGCUUUUGUUAAAGUUUCUUGGCAAACAGCUCUUCUGUAUUAAGUAGGGUCUGCUGCUGUUCUUAAAUGUAUUGGUUUUAAUUUCACUGUUGCAAACUAGCUGGGCCUUUCAAAAGCUCGUUGAGCAUUGUAUUUCUAGCAACAGGUGGUAGGAUGGGUCUUUGAACAUCCCAGCCGCUGUGUUAGCAAUUAAGUAGGUAUUUUAGAAUCUGAAACACUAUGCUGAAAGAAUCAAAAUAACAGUGUAUUUUCUUACUCUGUACAAGUGUCUUCAGUUAACUGAACUCAGAAUCUAAGAUAUAUUUUGUGUAUAUAUAUAUACAUACAUACACACUCUGCUAAAUAUCCUGUUUCUAAUUUUUAUUUCAGUUCCAAGACAGUGUUGAAACAAAGCACCGUGUCUAACUUUGUACAGACAGCUCCUUUUGCCAAACUAGCGACGUCUUUUUUGUCUUGGGCUCCAUUCAGGCAUCCAUGGAAGGCUUGUGUGGCCUGGAAAAUGGGGAAGCUGAUUCAAAAAUACCAAGGGUUUUGUUUAAUAACUUCACUGCCAACAACAAGUACAGUUGGUUUUAUCAGCGGCACCCUUCUGUCAUGUACAAUGUCUAUACAGGAAAUCAGGUGUGUAUUAACAUGUUCAAUCUCAUACUAUGGAAGGGGAGGUAACAAGAACCCAGAAGCUGAGAGGACUGUUCGGGGUUUCUGGUCUUUUGGGGAGGGCUGGACAGAUGUCAGACAGCAGGACAGCUCUGGACAAAGCUAUGGAAGAGCUAAAUCCCAUGGAGGGGAACCUGAUGUGGACAAAGCUUGAGAGCUGUGUCUGUGGAGAGAUGGACAAAGCACUGGGGAAACACAGAAGGAGAUAAAACCCCAAAGUAAAUCUUCGACAGCAAAAAACAUUACUUAGUGACUUUUGAGUAGUGCUAAAAAAAAUUACUAGUGCACUCAGAUAUUGAGAGAAAUCAAAGACAUCCUGUUAGUUCCCUCUAUUUUUGUUAAAUAUUUAUGAUUGGGAAUAUUCACACCACAAACUGCAAUUUUGUUUUAUCUGGGAGGACAAAUUGCAGUAGAACAAGCUGCUGAAAAGAGGCCAAGAGGACCACAACCAUCUCAGCUGGUGGCCUUCAUAACAUGCAAAAAGCACGUCAUAACUUUCAGUUACUGGGGUGCAAAUAGCUAAGUGUUAUUUGCAUAGUUGCUCUGGAGUUCUUGUGCAGUUAGAUGCUCUCAAGGGUUGGCUUUAAUUGUUCAGAAAUGCUGAUUGUUCUCUGAGCAAUGCCAGCCAUGAAUUUCGUGAAAAGAAAUUGGCCUCUUGUACUGUAGAGUGACUUUUUUAUUUGUUGGGAGAAGCAUGUUAGUAUUAAGUUGUUUGCAUAUAGGACUGUGAGGAAAAACAACACCAGAAAGCCUGUACCUGCUAUACUUCACUAGUAAAUUGACCAUAUGGGGCAUGAGGCCAAAAAUAUCUAGCAAGAUUCAGUGCAUGCAGUGGAAAAAAGAAGGAAUAAAUAUUAAACCCUGAAUCUGCUAGGAAUGUUUGCGUUAUGUAGUAAUUGGGUAAACAAAAUCAGGGGUAUCGAAUCAAAUGAAGAAGCUGCCACCCUGAAGAUCUCCUCUUUACUGAAACUGUCAGCAAGAAACAACAACUUCUGUCAUCAAAAGGAGAAGGCAUAAUAGCACCGUAUUUUUUUGGUAUGGAGUGAUAUCCAUGUAUGUUCACAUCCUAAUCAUUGGAGCAAUUACUGUUGUUCGCAUCUCCAUUUCAUUUCCUUGGCUGAGCACUCCUGGGAUUUUGGACUGUGAUUUCAUUAUUCACUUGACUGUGCCAUUUGUAUUGUGUACCUGCUCCAGCAGAUAUCAUCGACUCUUAAUACUCCUGUGCUAUGCAGAACAAAUCAUUUGCAUUUGAGUAGGUCGCUAUGGCUACUGGCUACCUAACUGUGUACUGCAUCUGUAAAAGCCAAAAACUGAAGGUGUUUUGCAGAAUUUAGACAAGGAUCAACUGUUCACAAUUUGAAAUCAUAUCCGUAUCCAUUGUUGUUGCUAACAGCAUGUACUUGUGUAGGGUUGAUUAGGUACAAUCUCUCUCUUCCUAUUUUGGAUUAAUAUUUAGAGAGCCUCUUUCUCAGGGCUGCAGGCUGACUCCAAAGGAAACAAACGUCUCUAGAGGACACUUGCAUGACAGUCAGCAGAUUAAUUAUACCUGCAGUCGUUCAAGGUGCAGCAUAAAACCUAAAAGUUUUCCAUUAAAAUUAAUUCUGUGCUAUUCAAAAAUACAAAUUCCUGCUGGAGUUGUCUGAAAUAAAUCUGGUAAUUUACGCUCUAGUAGUUUUCAGAGUACAGAAAAACUCCUUGACUGGGACUAACACAGAAGGUACCAGCUCAGUAGGAUCCAAGUCUUUAACUUGCAGAGGUUCAUUCAGAAAUACUAACCCUAGCGCUUUGUUCUGUUCCCUACAUGAAUCACAAAGGCAGGGAAACAGCAUUAUCCCCGAUAAAGAAAAUGGUGAGCACUGAAGCGAAGCAACUCCAGCAGGAGACAGUGAGUCAGCAUCAAAGUCUGGACCAAAACUCAAGCUUGCCAACUUGGAGCCCUCUCCUCAGAGUUGAGAACAAAUGGAGAAAUCUUCAUGAAAGCACGGGCUGUAGUACCAUACUGAAAGAACCAGUGUGAAGAAUCAUCCCUAAUAUGAAUAAAGUACAGCUGGCGAUUGGAUUAAUAACACUAAUUUUGUUGGUGUGAACGAAACAAGCCUCCACCAUCAGAAAUUCAGUGAACACUACUGGUAAAUUGCAUGUAUUCUAGAAAACCACUUUACAUACUUGGAGAUACCUGGUAAUGCCGUCACUGUGCCCGUGUCAUAGGCUGCCUGUCCCCCUUCAGAAACCAUGUAUGAGCUCUCCCAUUAAAACUCUCUGCUGAGAGAUCCAUGGGGGCACCAAGGGGAAGUUUAUGGCUUAGUGGUAACUGAAGAAUGUUCCAAGGCUUGCAAUACUGCUUUUGUUUCCCCCAGCAAACACCUUCAAUUAGCUAUUGUGUUGGGAGGGAGGCAGCUUCUCCACUAAAAGAGUAGCUCUUUUUCAGGGCGAAAUAUCCUUCUAGUCUGACAAUGUGCUGCUUUGGUAAGCGUGGCCACAAAACACAGGUGGAGUGAAAUAUCCCUUGACUUAUUUACCACUGAAAUUCAUUAGGUUAUGAAGCAGACUGACAUGUUUUGUUGCCUAUUGUAGAGUAAUAUCUGCAUUUGUGGAUAAGGUCCACUUGCUUCAUGAGUGUUCAAUGAGAAACUGUAUGCCUGAACAAUGUUACCGUAUAAAUAAUAUAUUAAAAUGAAAGGGCUGUGAAAUAACAUUAGAAAUCAUUUGCAAGAUACACAGGCAGAGCACAGAAGCGGCCAAAAAAUGAAACUUGACAUGCAUGCUUGGUCAUCGCUUUGAAAAUUAUGACAUUAAGAUUGAAUAACAAAGCCCAGCAUUUAAAGGGAAAAUCACAUUCAACAGAGUUUGGGAUUAUUUGCUGUACGUAUUUUAUUAGAUUCAAAUGUAAGCCCUAUCAUUUUGUGAUCCAACCUGGGCUGCUUUCUUUUCAGGAAGAUGAUUUCCGUCAUUGGCCCUGUAGUGAGGUUGUAGUAGGCUUCGUUGUGCUCCAGCUGUGACAGCUUCCAAGGUCUGGUUAAAGUGGGGGUUCUAUACUAAGAUGACAGAGGAAACAAGGGAAAUCGUGUAUCUGACAUUCUAUACAGAUCCCGAAAGAAGAUACAAAGUGAAAAAUAGGACACAAUCUCUGGGGUUUUCCUAUCAGCAGGUCAUCUCCAAAUUUUGUAGACCUCGCAAACAGCUUUCAAAAGAGUUUUUGGUUAAGACUUCCAGCAUGCCUAACUUCAUGAAACCUUAGCAAAUAUUGUCACUGGGUUUUGGAUAUUGUCACUGAGUUUUACUGGCUGUAAAUGGGAACACCUGUCGUUAGCUUUUACCCACCUUUUCACCUGAGCCUUCCCUGCUCUUCCCCCAAGGUGUGCAUCUCACAGGCCUGCCCCCCUCCUAGCCACAGGUAAAAGGGACCUCCAGCCUGCCUGCCUGCCCGCGGUGAGGAAGGAAGCAGUCUGGGCUCAUCCAGAGAAACAGAAGUUGAAACACGGUUUGAUUUCAGCACCAGAAGGAGAGAAUACAAAGAACUACCAAGCCAACUUGUAAUAAAAGGGCUAUAUGGAUCUAUUUUGGUCUUCCACCCAUCCCAUCUGGAAGCCUAAUUUUAUUUUUUUUCUUUUCCCAGAACUUGCAAUGAGCUUCCUUCUGAUUGCCUCCAUUGUUUCUGGAAAGAAUUGUUUUUGAAUGACCUCCAUCAGCUUUAGCAGGAUAUUGCUCAUCUGCAGUGCUGUCUUUCCAAUGGCUGAGUUUAGAAACACAGCAAAUUCCUCCAACCCCUCAAAGCCAUGUGAUCGUUAUCCUAAC